rnacentral:lncRNA from 1 species
CAACAUGACCUUCUCAUGAUACCCACUCCAUCUGCUAUAUCUAAACCUAAGUCCACUGGCAUCAUCAUCAAAGAAGAACGACCAGACUACACUGACUUUCUUUACCAAGACUCACAAGAUCCAUGGGAAGAUUUUCUUCCUCUGAGCCAACACCUCCACCAGUUUCCCCAACCAACAAUGGAUGAACCUGGCCCCUCCGUACCAGGACCAAACUUCCCAGAGACUAUAAUUGCCCUUAUCCACCAUGCCGUGGUCCCUCCUGUAAGCAUCCAAAGCUCUCCAAAACUUUCUUCCAAAAGCAUCCUCACUCUGGUGAUACGGACCCAGAUGAGACCGAAAGCUCAUCCGAAGACGAGUACAUGAAUCUCCGCUCUCCAUAAAGUUGUUUGUCUUGUUGCUUUCAAUAAAGUAGUUUGUCUUGUUGUCAUAAUGAUGUUUCGCUUUAUGUUUGCAUAAUUAUUAAAGUUUGUUUUUACUUUAAUACUUUUGUCCAAGUCAUGCUUUAAUUAUUAAAGCACUUUUGUCUUUUGUAAUAAUUAAAGUUGUGCAAUUAUGUAAAAGAUAGGGGUCCUGUCCUAUCUUCUCAAGAAUCCUCCCCUAUAUAAAGGAUUCUCCCCUUGCUUGUAAGAUAUAGAAGUUUGAAAGAAAUAAACUCGUGUUUUUCUCUUACACCAUGAAUCCCUAAAACUCUUCUCUCUCUGCAAAUGAAGUCCUAAGAAAGAAAAAGAAUAAAGAAUUAAAUUUGUUCAUUUUGAAAACCUAAGGAAGUAUGCUCUGCACUUGCCUUUUCUAAGGAUCCUGUGCAUCAGAAAACUUUUGAUCAUUUCUUAUCUGGUUUGGUACCUUGUUUUAGACUAAAGGAAAGUCUGUUUUGGGUUGUAUAACCUGAGAAAAAUGUUUUAAAGGUUUUUGAUUACAGAGGUAUAUCGGCUGGAAACCCGAGCUUGCGGACUACUGGUCCAAAGAACAGUUUUAACUGUUGUAGUUCUGGUAUAACAACGCCACGUACUUCACCAUAACUGGUAAUCUAUAAUAUUUUAACAUUUAUAAGUAAAACUAAUGAUAAGAUUAUUAUGUGGGAUAAAUGUCUAUGAGUGAGUUUGGGGAUAGACAUGAAAAAUAAAUUAUAAAGCGGGGAUAUUUUUAAUAUUAACUUAACUUAAUUAAUUAACUUAAUUAGAGGCAUUUGUUUUUAUAACUUAAUGAAAUUUUUUAGAUAAUUUUGACUUAAUAAAAUAAGUCAAUUUUUUUGGCUUUUUACUUAAUGGAGAAAUUUGAAUUAAGUCAAUUACUUACUAAUGUAAAAAAUAUACAUGAUUUAUAAUUUAUUUUUCAUGUCUAUCCCAAAACUCACUCAUCGACAUUUACCCCACAUAAAAAAAUCCAUGUUUUUUUCUUUAUUAUAUUAUAUAUGAUAAAAUUUGAACUUUACAGUAUUUUAUAUAUUAAAAUUCUAAUAUAAUUAUGUAUUCACUUGAAUAUAAUUUUACUUAUAAAUGUUAAAAUAUUGUGGUGUUUAAUAUAUUAUUUAUUUGACAUUCAAAUUUAAUAAGGAUACAAAUGUAAAAGUACAUAUUUUCAUCUUUUUCAGUUGGAAAAAACAAACAACUUAAUACUUAUUUUUCGAGAUUCAGACGAAAAAAACAAACAUAUUAUUCAGAUUCAGACAUUCAGAUCUAUUCAGAAUUCAAACUAAUUCAGGUCUAUUCAGAUUUUAAACAAAAAAACAAACGCCACCUUAAUUUAGAUUUCUCCAUUAAGUCAAAAGCUAAAAAAAUUGGCUUAUUCUAUUAAGUCAAAAUUAUCUAAAAAAUCUCAUUAAAUUAUAAAAAUAAACACCUCUAAUUAACUUAAUUAAUUAAGUUAAGUCACUUUAAGUUAUUAAGUUAAAAAAUAAACGCCACCUGAGUCCAUUAUAUAUGGGCUUUACAAAUUACAAGUCCUUCUCCAUGAUUUUAAGCUGCGGGCUGGACCGCGGCCGACCCGAGCUUUUCUGCCACUCUAACUCAUUUGAGAGACUGAGUUAUCUGUUUUUCAGUUUUAGUCGGUCACUGUUUAGCGGGUUUGUUUAUGAUUUUGUGUGUGUUUUCUUUUUAAAUGUAAUUAAUAUAAAUAAUCUAAUUGUUCACAUCCAUAAUUGGAUAUUCAUAUGAUAGUCCCCAUUGGGAUCCGGAUGUGUGCAAAUGUUCUACUUAAAACAUUUAGCUUGAAAUAAUAGAAAUGUUCAAAUCUAAAAUUUUAAAAUGUGAGGAAAGUUCGAAAAACAUAUUAAUUGUGUAGUUUAUGCGCUUUAAAUUUUAAAUUUAUCAAACCUCACAAUUUUAAAAUUUUUUCAAACUUUCUCAUAUUUUAAAAUUUCGGAGCAAAAAAUUAUUACUUGAAAUAAAAAAAUAUUUAAUGAGAUAACCUAAUUAAAAAAAAAAAACUUGAGGUGUUCAUAAGUCAUUAGAUUGGUUUGGAAAUUUUAACAAUUGGAUUAUUACAUAUCUUAAUUAAUUUGAAUUUAAUCAAUCUAAUUUAUGUUUGUAUCGGUUUUGUUUUUAAUUUAAUUAUCUUGUGGAUUUGAUAGUAAAGAAAUAAUUAUAAUCCGAUUCAUAUUAACAAAAUAGGGUAGAUUGGAUGUGAAUUUGUGUCUAAUUGCAUAUUCAAUAACCAUAGAAUGAAUUUCAUCUAUUUACAAAUUGGAUUGGAUUAAAAAAUAUAUAAUCCAAGCCAAAUAAUUAGAUAAGCAAACUCCCUAAUAACCAUGUUCCAAUCUGAGAAAAAUCCGGAACUCCAAAUGUCUUAAAAACAACUUGAAAAUGCAACUUGUCGUUACCAUUCAUGUUUGUUGUUGUUAUUAUUAUUGAAAGCUACUAUGUUUGGCGCGCGGGUUUAGCAUGUGUACGCUGUGCAAAUUUGUGUGCACCAAACAUGGUGUACAGUCGGGCAGGAGCAAAAGAUCAGCAGGCUGGUCAAAUGAGACCCGCCCUCCAUCGCAGUACUUUUGAGUAGAGUUGAUAAAACGGGUCAUCGGGUCGUGUCAAUUUCAUGUCGUGUCAAAUUUAAAUCGAUUAAAACCCGACCCAUUUAAUAAUCGUGUUAAAAUAUUGAGAUCAAAAUCCAACACGAAAAAAUAAUCGGGUUACCCAAUAACCCGCUUAAUAUCUAUAUAUAUUAAACAAAAUUUACAUCAAAUUUAUAAAUAAAAUACUGUGUUUAUAUUUAUCUUUUCAAAAAAUAAAAAUAAAAGAGAGAAUCAUCUCUAAUAUUUGAGUUUUGACAACAAGAACCUACAAAUUAUUUUAAAAUAAAAAAUAUAAUCGGAUCAUUGAUCAGGUAAAUGAGUCAAGAACUUUAACUCUAACCCAGACCCAACACACUUAAUAAUCAUGUUAAAUUCAACGACCCAUACCUAUUUAUUCGUAUCGGGUAAUCGAAUCAUGUCAAAUUUUGUCAGCUCUACUUUUGAGAGGGUCCUUUUUUACAUUUUUUGUUAUCAUUGAACUUAUUUUAAUGUUAUGUAGCUAAUUUAUAAAUUUAAAUUAAGUAGCUAAUGAUUUCUUUAUCCCCGGUGGCAAUCAUGAGUUUUUUUCAGCAACUCUUGAUCAUUGAAAACAUUUGCAAAACUUUAGUUGUACAUCUAUGACGAACAGAAGCUAUGUUGUUGGAGAUAUUGAUAUCGUUGUGUAGAGCGAAAGAUGAGGAUUUCAAUGAUACAAAGUGUGACGAUACUUAAAUAGAUAAUAUUUGUAAUUUUUUGUGGUUGUUAAUGGUGGUGGUUACAAGCGGUUAUUUUAUUUUUAAUUAAUAAAUAAAAAUAAUUUUAUUGUAAUGUAAAUUUUUAAUAUUAAAUAUUAAAAUAUAUAAUAUAGACGUACUACACUAAGCAUGGUAUUAUAUAAAUUUUACAUCAUUUUAUAUAACUCAGUCCAAUUUAUUUUAAUACAAUCUAAUAUUAGUGCGUUACACUAAACAAAGUACUUAUGGAAUAAAAUAAAAUUAUUGUGUUUACACGUUGAAUUAGAGUAAAAAUAGUAAUCUAGAUAUUAAAUACUAGGUUGUCCUAUAAACAUAAAAAUUCAACAUUAGUUGGUAAGUUUCAAGAUCAUAAUUUAUUGUCAAUGAGGUUCAUGCUUUAAAUUUUAAUUGAGGAUGCAUCUGUGUGCUUAGAAAAUAAUUUUUUUAAUAAAGAAAAUAAUUUAUUUAAGAUAAGUUAUGUCGGCAAGUCAUGUGUACGACUUACGUGUGAAGCCACUUUCUUUGAAGUACAACUUAUAAGCAGCACGUGAUUAAAACCGACAUCGAAAAGGAAUAAAUCUGGAUCGUUGAUGCAUCCUUGCACCGCUAAGCGAUAGCCGUCGAUCUUGACCAGCGAUACUAUAAAUAUACCCCCCGCGUCGGGCACCGCUGGCUCCUGCGUUCUCUGUGUUUGUCUAUGUUCUUUUCUACGGGUUGGGUGCGGUGUGAUAAUCGGGAAUUAAUUUAGCGCAAUAUUAGUGCUGUUAUUCGAAUUGAUUGAAUUUCUUGGCUGUUUUUGAGUUAUUGGAGGCGAAGGUAUUUUUAUUUUAUACACUGAUGUAUUGGAUCGAAGUUGUUUCGCUUCUCUUCUCUUUGUUCAAUUAUUGGGUACAGGAUCUUGAAUCUGUGCUGUUCGUUACCGAUCGGGCAUCCGCUGUUGUUUCUUGGAUUAAUGAACUGAGAUUGAUUGGUGACUUUCUUAACUAAUUUGUCGAGGAAUUUUGAGGGCUAGGAUUUUAUUAUAAAGAUGAUAUAUAUAAUAUUCGAUUCUUGACUUGCUUGUCGGUGGUUUGUGAAAUAGAUUGAGAUCUCGGAUUAUUCAUGCUUUUGAGAAGUAUUAUGCAGAGAAUCGAACAGAGUAUAUAGUACAUAUUUUUUUUUUUUGCUGUUGGUGGCGAAGAUAUUAUCUUGAAAUUUGUGCCGUUCAAUAAAUAGGCAGGCGGCAAUUUGUUGGUUUGUGUAGCGCUCAUUGGUAAUUGAUCUAUUGCUCAUUAUUAUGAAGCUUUAUAUAUUCAUAUAAUUGGAAUUUCAUGGUUCCAUUUAAUUUAUUGGUGACAAGGUGUCAUUGUAGGCUGAGAUUGUGGAUUGGAGUUGUUUUGCCUUCAAUUUUCUUUUCUCUUCAUUCAAUUCUUGGUUACAGAAUCUUGAAUUCCUGUGCGGAGAGUGGAGGUUUGAGAUACCGGUAGGGUGUCUGCUCUAAGUCUCCUGUGUUAAUUAACUUGGAACUGUCAAUUAAUCAGGAGGUGUCUGACUCAUUAUUUGCUUCUUUUUCUGCGUGUACAACAGUACAAAUGGUCGUCGUGCAUUUAGAGGAGUAUUGGGGCUCUAAGUUUCAUGGAUUAAUAAACUUGGAACUGUCAAGUAAUCUGGAGGUUUCUGGCUUGUUAUUUGCUCCUUUUUUUUUUUUGCAUGUACAACCGUGCAAAUAGUGGUCAUGGAUUUAGAGGAGUAUUGGCGCUAUCUAUCAACCGGUUUUUAGGACUCUUUUAUGUUUUCUCCUCCUUUUUAGCUUCCACAAUUGCCUUUCUGAAUACUAUGAUGUCCAGCUCAUAUUUUGAUCUUGCGUUUUUGCAUAUGCUGCAGCGAUGUGGAAAUGGUUUGAGUUUUUCUGGAAGAUUGGGAUUCUGGGGAUGUGUUAAAGAGCUUUUCUGACCCCUUCUUAGUUCCUUAUUGAAAAUUUCUAGUCAGGUUAUGCUGGGCUAUCUCACUACAGCAGGGGGUUUUUAUGGCUUCUUUAUUGUUUUUCCUUGUCUCGCUUCCAUCCAUCCUAUUCGAGUGCUAUAAAGUUACAGCUCAUAAUUUUGUCUUUCAUUUUUGCCAAUUUCUGUUGCAGUGAUGUGGCAAUUCUUUGGGUUUCGGUGGAAGAUUGGGAUUCUGCUAAUACUUGAGGGUGUCUAAUGAGUUUUUGUCCAUCCUUCCUUAGUUAAUCACUUCUAUCUAUGAAACUUAAAAUCAAAUUGCGUUUUGAUCUUUUGAUUUACGCAUACUUUUGUGUGGCAGUGUUAAAGAGUAUUUGAGGAAUACCGUGACUCUGCAUCUGGGUGAUGUUUCAUGAGUUUUUUUUUUUCCCUUUGGAACCUGCUCUUAGUUUAUCACUUUUAUCUAUGAAUACUUCAGUGCAGAUUGUAUUCGGGCCAUUUCAUUUUUGUAAUUUUUACGUUUCAGUGUUCUAGAAAUGGUUUGGGUAGCUGAGGAACAUUUGGGCUCUGUUACGAAGGUGGCAUUCAUGACUUUUUCUUAGUUUACUGUCCGUAUUGUUGAGCAAAUCUUUUCAGUUUUGCAAUGUUCUGUGGCAGCAAUAGGGAAACAUUCCAAGUUCCAAGUAACGCUGGGAGCAAGUUUUGAAAGAAUACUAGGACUAUUCUACUCAGGGGGUUUUCUAUUGUCCUAUUUUAGUAAUUUUUGCAGUUUAAUUCUUCUGUCUUUACCUAACUGAAUCCUUGAGGUUCGUAUUAACUCUGUCUUCAUUUUUUGCAAAUUUCUUGAGAGUGAUGAAUAAGUGUUUUAGCUUGCCAACUCUCCACCUUAGGAGUUUCUGACAACUCCCUUGUUCUUUCUUGUUGGUAGCUUCCAUCUAUGCCUGUUUGAAUACUAUAAGUUCAGCUUUCAUUUUUGUGAACUUCUUUCCUAUGAUGUGGGGUUUUUCCCCCUUUUUCAAAGGUUUGGGUAGGAUUUGGGGAUGUCAUUCGUCCCUUUCUUAGCUGAUCGCAUCUACAAAUUUAUCUAUGAAAAACCCAAUUGUAUUUUGGUCAUUUGAUUUUUGUAAGUGUUAUGUUGCAGUUCUUGAGAAAUGGUCUGGGUAUUUGACCACUUCUAGGGGCUGAUCUAAUGAAUUUUUUCGAACUUUUUUUAAUCACUUCUAUUCAUGAAUAUUUUAGAGCAUAUUGUAAUCUGGCUGUUUCAUUUUUUGCAAUGUUUAAUGUUGCAGAGUUUCAGAAAUGGAUUUAGUAGUUGAGGAAUAUCUGGACUGCUGCAAAGGGAGCUUCUAUGAUUGAGGAAUUUUCUGAGUUUUCGAAGAAUCAAUUGACCAUUUCACUUGAGGAGUUGUCUAUUGUGUUGUUCAGUCAUUUUUCCAGUUGGUUUCUUUUAUCUCUGCCUAACUGAAUGCUCUGAAGUGUAACUAUGUUUGUUGCAAAUUUCUUGAGCAGCGAUGGCAAAGUGUGUUCAGUUUUUUUGGAGUAUUAAGGCUUUCUCUCCACUGCAGGGGCUUCUGAUGACUCUAAUUCUUUCUUCUUGCUUCUAGCUUCUAGCUUCCACAUGGCUACCUGAAUACUAUGAGGUUUAUCUCAUAUUUUGGUCUUUCAUUUGUGCAUCUCUGUUGGAGUGAGGUGAAUAUGUUUGAAUUGCUUGUGGAUCGUUUUUAAAUAGAUUGAAAUUUUGAGUGUUAUGGAUUUAUGAGUACAUCUUCGUGUUUUUGAGAAGUGUUGCAGAACGCUAUUCAAGGGGCUUCUAGUAAAUGAUUUAGCUUCUCAAUGCCUUGCUUUAGAGUGUAAUUUGGUCAGUCAUAUUGCCAAAUUGUUGUUGCAGCUUGCCAGUAGAGAAUUGUUUGUGGACAUCUGCGAAUAAAGAGUUUUGUUAGUGUUUUGCGGUUUGCUUGUUAUCUUAUUUGUUUAAUUUGUUGAUGAGAUUACAUCCUGCAGGUUUGUGUUGGAAUCUUGUUUGUUUGAUUUCAAUGAGGUUAUAUGCUUCAGGUUUCUGUUGGAAAAUACUCUGGCCAAUGGUCAAUAUAGUGAGUGGUUUGUCUUCCGGGUUGUGAUUGGCUACAGCAAGGCUUCUGCAAGUUUGUAGGGCACAAAAUUCCUUGCCAUUUGUUGAUUAUCACUUUUGAAGCAGCUGCUGGAAUCAACUAUUUGGCAACAAUAAAUGGGGGUGUAAGGGAAACAUUCUACCACUAGUUAUUGAGCCUUUAUGGAUUAUCCAUAUACCAAGUAAAUAUACUUCUGAUGUUUGUCAAUAUUUUGCCCUAUCAUCAGAUUAUUCAGUGUGUUGAACUUUUUAGCAAAUAUUCUACAUGGAAGGGUGUCCACGUGUGGGGAUCAUAAUGCUGGCACGCUUAUCUUGCGUACUUAUUUUCCCCUUUUUUUCUCUUUGAUGCAUCGCUCUGUUUUUUGAGUUGAUCCUGUGAUCCGUUCUAUGAUUUGUUUGGUUACAGAGAAUUGUUAUAGCUGUUCCAUUGCCCCCCUUUUCUCUAGUUGAAAGAGAGUUUUGGUGUGGUCGAAUUCCGAGUGUUGUUGGGCAGAUAUUGCCUAUUGGUUCUAUACCUCCUGGACUUUGUUUUCCCUUUUUAGCUUGUCUUGGUUGCUAGUUAGCCCUGUGCUCAUUUUUUUUUUUUGGUUUGAUUACAGAGAAUGAUGCUUCAGAAUGAUGUUGCUCGGUUGAUGUUUGUAGUUUUUAUGGAAUACCAGGACUUUUGUCUCGUGGUGUCUAUGAACAUUGAGAACAUAUUCGUGCUUUGGUAAUGCCAUUUUACAAAUUUUUUUGUUGCCGUGUUACUUAAAUGGUCAGUGUUUUGAGGAGUAUUGGGACUGCUACUGCUGUGUCUUUAAUGGGCUUUUUCUGACCUUUUUUUAGCUUAUCACUUCUACUCGUAAUCUGUAAGAGAGGAUUGUAUUUGGUUUGUUUUCUCUCUUUAACAAAUUUUGGAGAAGUAUCGUGGAGCAUUUUUUAGACAUUUUACUUAGUUUUUACCACUUUAUCUUUGAAUACUUUACCUUCAUUGUGCCCCUUUAGUUUGGCAAUUUUUUGUUGCAGUGAGAGAAAAAAAUGUUCCAAGUUUUCAAGGAGUAUAAGGACUAUUCUACUUGGGUGAUUUUCUGACAGAUUUUUAGUCCUUUCCUAAGUUUAUUUGUUCUAUUCUAACAGUCCAGUUUUUAAUUAUGUUUUCCAUCUGUUGCAAAAUUUUGGAGCAGUGAUGGUUGAAUGUUACAAAUUUUGAGUGUUGGGGCUAGCUAUCAUCUAAGGGGGUGUUUGAUGGCUUUUAAAAAUUUUCCUCUAAUUCCUUCACAAUUUUUUGUUGCAUAGGUAUGGGGAACUUAGUUUUCAGGAACAUUGGGACUGUUGACGUGGGGGUAUCUUCCGUGAUUUUUAGUCUUUUCUCUAAUUUAUUAUAUCUAUAUUCUUAUCUUACUCUGUUAAAAUUUAAGAUACAUUGGGGCUAGAUAUUGACUACCUAUGUCUUGCUAUUUUGGAAAAUUGUGUUGCAGUGAUGGCAGUAUGCACUGAGUUUUUGAGGAAUUUGAGGCUAUACAUUGAGGAGUGCCCCGAUGAGUGUUUUGUCUCUUAUAGUUUCUCACUUCUGUCUAUGUUUAUCCUGAGUACUUGAAGAAUAUAUCUCUUAUCAUUUAUUUGGCACAAUUGUGUUGCAGUGUUACAGAGUUGCCAAUUUUUUUGAGGAACUUUGGAACUUGUACGUGUGAAAUCCAUAACUAAAAUUUUCUCUUUCUCUUCUGCAAACAUAUGUUGCAGUGAUAUCAUUCCUGUGUUUUCAAGGAAUAGUGGGACUAUGCUGCUUGUAGUGACCAAUGGGUUUUUCUUCCUUCACUAAUUUAUUAUUGGUGUCUCAGACUAUCUUUCAUUUCUUCAUGAGGUUCAAUUUGUAAUUUUGUCUUUCAUAAUUGUAGUAUUCCAUUUUUGCAAAUUUAUAUUGCAGUGAUGGUGAAUGUUUUGAGGUAUUUCGGGAUUAUCUGCUGCUUGGGGUUUUUUGAUGGUUCUUGUUAUUGUUUCUCCUCGUUUUUUGGCUUUAAAUUUAUGCAGAUAUGAAUGCUUAGAACAUAUUUUGAUCUUUUAUUUUUGCAAAAUAUUUGUUGCAGCGUUGCAAAAUGUAGCAAGCUUUUGUGGAAUAUUGGGACUUUGCUACUCAGGCUUCUGUAAAAAGUUUUUAUCUUUUUCAGUUUUUCACUUAUAUCUAUGCAAACAUACAGCAGAUGAUGGUUGUCUUUUGCAAAGUUUAGGUUCCCCUGUUACAGAAAUGGACCUACAUUUCAAGGAGUGUUGGAUGAUUUACUCGGUGGAUUUUCUAUCAUGUUUUUCAGUCAUGUUUUUCAGUCCUUUUCUUGGUUCAUUUCUUCUGUAUCUGCCUAACUGGAUACUUUUUUAACAAUUCAUUUUAGAAUUGUCUUUCCUUUUUUUGUAAAUUUCUUGAGAAGCGAUGCAAGGUGUUUUUGAGUGCUGGUCAGGGUAUGUCUGAUGACUUUAAUUCUUUUUACUAAUUCCCUCAUUCCAUUUAUGCCUACCUAAAUAGUUUAGGUUGUAUGUCAGCCUGCAUAAUUUUUGCAAAUUUUUUACUGCAGUUUCACAGAAAUGUGCAGUGUUCAUUGACGUGUUUUAGGACUAUGCUACAGAGCAGGUGUCUUCUUGUUAAUUUCUUCUAUUUAUAGAUAUCUGGAUAUGAGAAUUUCAAAUUAUCAUGUUUUACCACUUCUGCAAAUGUAUUGGCAGUGAUUUUAAGUAUUUCUAUGUUUUUUAGGAAUACCGAUCAUGCUAAUAUGGGCUUCUCGUGAGUUGCUCUUCUACGUAGUUCCAAGUUUUGGUGGAAUAUUAGGGUUGUCCGCUACCCAGGGGGUUUCUGAUGACACUAUUUUUUGAUCUAGUUUAUGCUUGCAUCUAUCUGGUUGUACUGAGGUUCAAAUUGUUUUUAGGUCUUUCAUUUUUGCAAAAUUUCUGUUGCAGACUUACAGUGAUAUGAUAACGAGAUUUUGAAGAAUGUUGGGACUACUGUGCAAUCAGGGGGUUUAUUUGAGUUUGUUUCUGGCUCUUAUUCUUCCUAGUUUGUCACUUCUAGAUGGGAAUAUGUAUUAUACCUGACCUUGGAAUGUCACUCUGCCUCACAAAGAUCGUCUCUCUGGCACUUCCGCUUCCGGGGUUGGGUCAAAGCUAUCGGUCGAUCUCGUGGCGAGCCUUCCCCACCUACCUUACCUGGACCACCGUUAGCCCACCAACUUCCUUUGCAAUGUUCCAAGUUUUUGAGGAAUAUUAAAGGCGCUUGGUUUGUGGUUUUAGUCAUUGUUUUAGUUUAUUUCUGUUCUCUCUUCUUAUGUGACUCUCAAAUUCAAGUUAUGAUUUUGUUAUUUUAUUUUUAUCAAAUUUGUUGAUGGCAAUGUGAUCUGAAUUUUGAGUAUUGAGGCUAAUCCAUACUAGUCUCUUCUAGUUUCUUGCUUCUAUCUAUUCUUAAUCCGAAUGAUUCAUUGUUUUAUUUUUCAAAUUUUAGUGUUGCUGUUUCAGAGAAAGGCUUUGAAGAAUUUUGGGAGUAGGGGGUGUUAAUUGAGUUUUUCAGUUCCCUUUCAGUUGCUUGUUGCCUUGUGCUUCUUAAAACUUCAAACUAUUAUUACUCUCUUCCACUUCUGCAAAUUUAUUCUGCAGACUUACAUUUGUAUGUUUUGAAGAAUAGUGGGGCUCUACCACUACUCCUUUAUGUUGAUGUGAUGGAGCACAUUUGGAUAUUUAUGAGGAAGAGCGGGAACUACAACUCAGGAAGGGGUUUUUUUUUUUCCUAUUUAUUGCUUUUGCUUGCAAAAUGUGCACUCUGUAGUCUGUUCUUUCUUUUUUGCAUAUUUAUGUUGAAGUGAUAGGGAAAUGUUGACAUCUCUUGUUCUUUCUCCUGAUUUCUGGCUUCUAUCCAUGCUUAAUUGAAUAUGCGAGUUCAGCUGCUGUUUUCUGCUUCAGUGAGAGAACAUUGUGGCUUCUUUUGGAAUAUUGGUAUUAUGUGAUCUCAGGGGAUGAGUUUUUUACUCUUUCUCCCAGUUUCCUGCAUCCUUCUAUGUCUAUUUGGAUAUUUUAGGUUUAAUUAUGGUUUGAUCUUUCAUUUUUGCUAACUUUUGUUGCAGUAGAGAUAAAUACUUUGCGCCCGUUCUGUAGAUGGGAAUGUUACUGUUCCUGGUUUGCUUCUUUCCCAAAUCAAUAAGCUACUGAAUGAUGCUUUCAAAAUCCUUUUUGGUGCUUUCUUCAAGCUUGCAAUUGUGAAGACUUCUAUGCUUUUCUGGUCACUGAAUGAUUCUGGAGUUUCUUCAUUGUUGGUUAUUCUAACAGCUUGACUAAAGUGUGUCAGUGCAGAUGAGCUGCAAAUGCUUUCGUCACUUGACAAACGGGUGUUUGUGCUGCUCGAGGUUGUAUUGUGCAUUUUCUAGUGUUUUUUUUUUUUGGGUUUCAGUCUUCUAUACAUGCCUAUAUGAAUAAUGAAUGUCUCGAGGUUGUAUUGUGCAUUUUCUAGUGUGCUUUCGUCACUUGACAAACGGGUGUUUGUGCUGCUCGAGGUUGUAUUGUGCAUUUUCUAGUGUUUUUUUUUUUUGGGUUUCAGUCUUCUAUACAUGCCUAUAUGAAUAAUGAAUGUGAAAUAGUAGUUUGCAAAACUUUUCUGUGGUGUUUUUUUUUUAAAAUAAUUUUGAUGACUAAGAUUCUCUUCAUUCUUUAUUUGAACUACGAGGACUUUGAUCUCUAUUUUGAUAGAGUACGUAGGCGUUUGGGUUCUCUCCCAAACUCAAGUCCAAUUUGCCAUUGAUUUUUUUUAUUUGAUGCCAUAUGUGGAUUUCUUACCAACCAUUGUUUUUGUAGUGUUUGAGAGUAAUAGUGGACAGGACUUCUGCUUGAGGUGAUCGUAUUAUUCCCACUAAUCCUCUUUUAUGUGGUUGUAUUGUGUUGGCUGUUCAAUUGGAGGAUAACAGCCUGUCGUGAUGUAGAUUAUGUUUCUAUGAAUGUCGCAUAAUCAUGUGAAGCUUUAAGCUGAUAUAGGUACGAUUGUCCCGAUCAUGUGUUGAAGUUUUUACAUUUGAGUAAGAAUUUUAAUACGGAUAACAGCCCGUCAUGUGAUGUAGUUUAUGUUCCUAUGACUGUCACACAAUCAUGUGAAGUCUUAAGCUUAUACAGGUACGAUCGUCCCGAUCAUGUGUUAAAAAGUUUUUACGUUUUUGAGUAUGAAUUUCUCAACGCAUAAAAUAAACUCUCCUCCGAAGAAAUUAUCUUCAGUUUAUGUUAGUAGGAGCUACCAAGUGAACAUUUUCAUAAGUGAAUCAACCAGAGCAUGGUGUAGACAAUUUAUGACAGUAAUAGCUACCAAGUGAUUGGAUUAUGGUGUCUGCUAAGAAGGAAACUGAUGAAUGGUUUAAAAUUUGUAACCAUUCCACAAGCAGUACUUUUCCUUUGGUAACAACUAACAAAUCCAACCUUUAAAACUGGAAAAACAGCAUUUUUAGGCAAUGCAGUUCCGUUCCACUUGGACCUCUCAAAGGCUGCACAGAAACCAUAUAUACUGUGGUAGAGGGGGAAGAAGACUUAUGAAUAUGAAAAUAUUUAUAAGUACAUGAUUAUUUCAAAAGGUAAACCCAUUACUUGUCUACUGUUGAUGUAACCACGGUACUCGAAGGGGUCAGUAACAACAGAGGCAGCAACAAGCCUAUUUAUGUGAGCCAUAUCCAUGACGAGAAAAGCAUCAGCAGCCUCUGCAAUCUAUGAAGCAACAACAGCAUCUGCAAUCUAAUCAAGCAGUGGAUGCUUUGUGGCUAGCCGCCAAUGAUAUACCCAGAAAAAAUUGUAAGGCAGAGCUAGCAGUAAAUCCUUACCUGCCUCAUGCGAGGAUAGUUAAAGAUAUGCGUUGGCACCAGCUAUUAUGAGUUCUGGUCCAAGGAGAAUAGCCGUUUUCUGGAGCAUGUCCUUGCAUAAAACUGAAACAGAAAUCACAACCGAGUGACCCAAUGAAAUAGUCAAAGACAACCGUCUUUUAGGAAAAUUACAGUAACAUAUUAUGGAUCUGUAGUGUUCUGGAUCAGGAGUUUAAUCAGAAAUAAAAAAAGAUGAAAUCUUAUCAACAACUAACCGUUAUUCGAUCAUGAGGAUUAAGAAUUACAGUAUAAACUUCAAAAUUAUGCUGCCAAAGCUCCUUUCUGACAAAGGGUUUCAAGCUCAUCAAUGUACUCGUUACCACUAUAGUAUCUGAGGUUAAGGGAAAAAAAAAAAGGUUUAUUUCGUCCAUGUAAAAUUGCGUGAAAAGAAAAUGUGAAAGUAAAAAAAAAAAGGUGAAAUAUCCUGAAACGAAGAGAGUUUACCUUUUACCAGGCAGUCCUUCAGAAUAUUUGUCUAUGAGGCAUGAACCGGCUGCCUCCCAUCACAGCUCGGGAUGUAAAAUUUUCAAUGCAAUAAGCUCAAGGCUAUUGAACUGCCUCUCCUUCUCCUUGGUUUUCAAUAAUUUCCUAUGCAUACAAUUGGCUAAACCUCUGUCUCUCCCAAGAAGCGUGAACGGCUCUGCUGUCGCCUGUUUUGAAUAAACAAAUAUAAAUAUACAAGUAUUUGUCUGUUCAAAAAAGAAAAAAAGAUCAUGAAGUACGAUGAGUUUUGCAGACUACCCAAUUUGAAGUCGUAUGCGAAUAUUUACGAGGGUUAUUUGUCUGUGAGCAAGCAAGAAUUUUAUAGAAUUUAAUAUAAAAUUGUAGUUUUAAUUAUUUAUCUCAUUGUAAAUAUCAAUAAUUCAUUAAUUAUCUUCUGGAAUAACAGUUGUUAAUAGUUGUAAAAUAUUUGAUGUAAUAUAAAUUGUUAAAGAAAUGCAACGUCAAAAUUCACUGGAUAGCAUAGAUUUAGAUGUCAAAGUGGGAAAGACGACUGAGAAACACCCAAUGAUUUGGCUAUUGGCUAUUGGAUUUAAAAAGGAUAUAAGAUUAACAUUGGAAUUGAAUGUUAUAUAUAAAAUUAUUUAUUAUUUUAUUUUAUCAUUUAAUAAAUGAAAAUUACAUUUAAUUAAAAUUUAACUAUUAGAAUCUUCAACAUUACAACAACAAAAAAAUUGAUGACCAUUAAUGAGUAUUUGUAAAUACAAACAAGCGAAAAAAGAAUUAUAAAGUUCGUAACUUGUACAAUCAAAACUGUUGAAAUAGUGGACCUCAAAAGAGAUAAAAUUAUAAAAGGGACUUUUGAGUAUAGGAUUUUAUUCCCACAGAGAAAAAGAAUGAACCAAAUUCAAAGAGGGUGCAAAAGUAUAAAAUUAUAAAAAAAAAAUUAGGAUAAAUAAACACCAUUAGAAUGAUUGUUCAGUCUUGGACGGAUUUCUCGCCUAAUUCAUUCAUAUUUAUUUAAACAGCGUCAGAUAAAAUCUAUUCGCCGUGGUGGGGUAUGUACUCUUCAAGUCAUUAGGAAUGCUGAACUGAACCCAGAAUAUUAAUGGGAGGUUUUACACAUAACUCACAACAGAUGAUAAUGAAUUUGUACGAAAGACUAGAAAACCAAUAAUUAUGAAUUUACAAGCAUCACAUUAGCUGGUUGCAACACUAAGUAAUGCCACCCAGAAAGAAAGCAGUUUGGCAACAAUUCUUGAAGCUUGUAUAGUUCUUCUAUUAUAAUUUGGAAGUACAUUAAAGUGAUAAACCUUGAUAGAGAACAUGAAAUUGUUCACUCCACAUGCGAAAGACCACCGCCGCUUUCAGACUUUGUUCUGCACAAGCCAUCAGUUCCGAUAAAUACAAGAAACUAUGUAGUAGCAUAUAAAACAUAACAGGAUUGAACUUCACAAUCAGACUUGAAAUGAUGGACAUUUAAUAAUUGUGCAAAUGCCACACAGAAUGAAAUUAUAAUAUAUAACAAUAGAAUAAAUUUUGAGCAUCAUUUCCUUCUACAAUGGUGAGAUUGAUAAAUAAGUUCAAAAACCCCACUAUCUAUGAAACUAUUCCUACAAGGAUAACCAAAACUUACUUGUGGUCGGAGGGAUUCGGCCUCAGCUCAUAAACAAUUGUUGCCACGACGUCCCUCUUCAACUGUUACUCAAUAGACCAAAAACAAACCAAAUGGGUGUUAGAGGUGCAGGAAGGUAUUAGUUGGAAGCACAAACAUUUCACAGAUUAGAACAAGGAAAAAAAAAAUUAUUAAAACAAAGACAAUAACAAAUUCAUAAAAUUUGAUCUCAGCCAAUAAAUUACCUGGGUGGCUUCCCCUUUUAGGCCAAUGUAGUGUAUCUGAGUUGUGUCACCACCAAAAUUGUCAGGGAAGUGUAAUGUGAUAUUGGCCACACUUUGAAAUUUGGAAUACCUAAAGUAUGCAUUAAUAUGACAUUAAAAACAGUUCGUAACAGAUGAUUUUUUUUUUUGGUGGAAAUACAAUACAACAUCAACCAAACAAUGGUAAGUUGCUAAUAAAUGGGAAGCACCCAAAUUCAGUAGAUUAUGCCUGGUCACAUCAAUUGCUCAUCAUGAAAGUAUGGAUAUGAAGUGUUUGCAAACAAAGCCUCUAUUGCAUGUCAACAAAACUGAGUAGUAAUCAAUAAUUACCUUGUUUGGUAUUCUAACACUCCUUGCAAAUUCUCAACCAAAUCCCAUUCCUUGGAACAAAUGGUACAAAUGUGUCAGAUGAGUUGAAAUGAAGAAUUUGCUAAAAAUGCAAUGAUAAGCCAACAUGAGGCAUACCUGAAUAGCUUGCAUAUCUUGAGCAUCUGAGAAGUCAAUACCCUCUCGAUUGAUGAACCUAUUAAAAAAUGAAAAAAAAAAAAGAAAAAAAAACUCAGGACACCACUUCUUCUUUUAAGAAAUAUAAAAGGUAGAGAAAUAAAAACAAAUUUAAUAUUUGAGUAAUGGCAACAAGGGACUAAGAUUGAGCAUUUUUCGCUCAAUCCGCUAAUCAUCUAAUCCUAACCCAGACUAGACACACACACACACACAAAACCACAAAAAAAAAAAACUAGACUGAGAAUUUUAUGAUAAGCCAAUGAAAAUUCCAUCUAAAAUUUAUAUUUCUAAGAUCAUUUGAUCCCUUCCACUUACUACGAUGAGAAAAAAAAGCUAUUUGAGUUUCUUUCUAAAUUGGAUAGUAUUACAUCUAACAAUUGAUGAAGCAUUAUGACAGCAUACAUAAAAUUCACAAGUUCAAACUCACACUCUCAUCUUCGAAGGACUUGUUCCAUCAGCACCACCAACAAUUGAAAUGCUCUUGAUCUUAACAUCUGUAGUAAAUCUAUCAAAAUCAAGUGGAAGAAGGAUUCUCAAUGAGCCCUUUUAGAACAGAAGAAAUCUUUAGGGAAACAUGUUCUUAAGAAAGAACAAUAUGAAACAAUAAUUUCGAGAGCAUCUUACUAUGAAGAAAAAAUAGAUUGGUUUUAAGAAAAAAUUUAUGCAUAAGAAUUAUAGGUGCAGAAAUGCGGACAUCAAAUUUUGACUUUGUAUACAAAGUUGAGCAAAUAUUAUCUUUUAGACUCAAGAUGGUCUCUGAUUGUUCCUAGUAAGAGACAUUAUCGUUCCACUAAAGGAGAAAAAGUAUGAAUAAAGAUAACAGAAGUCCUUAGUAUUUUAAUCAUAAAUUUCAUUUCAUUCCAUCAAGCUUAUUUAUGAAAUUAGUAAAUUUCAAAAUAUUGCUCAUUUUAACAUCAAUAUAAUACAAAUUAUAAUUAGACAUAUAGAUUGGUGGGAUAUAAAGGGGUUUAGAAAGAACAAAGCCACUUGGGAUAUGAAAAAAUACAAAAUUAAAUACAGCUGGGGACAUGAGUGUAAUGAAAAUUAAUGUCUAUUUCUCUGAACCUUGAGAUCCCAGCUACUGUUUAUUCUUAGAGCAAAAGGUAGCCACUUACGGAAUAUAAACAAGUAACUCUGGAUCACCAUCAUUGCUUUCCAAAUGUUCCUGGGUCCACAAUGAGGAUCACAUAAGCUUUAAGAAGGCAUGUAAUGAAAGACUUGUUUCGAUACAUCAUAAGCAAAAUAUAGCAUGCUAAAUAUUGAUAUUUCCCCCAAAACAUCAUCUUGAUCAACUUGGCUUGCUUGCAGAUUCUAUAGUAACUUUUCUAACAGGGUAAGCGUCUUUUUUCUUUCAGAUGUAAUUUCCAGUUCUAGGUUAGAAACUGGCAAGAUAUUAAUUUGUGUAUUCAUAAAAUUGCAAAGUAGAAUAAUAACGAGGCUGAUAAAUAAGUGAAACAAAUCGCACAAUAAUCAAAAGAAGGCUAUACCUCAGUGGUUUUCCGGUUUGAAAUAGAUAUUAAUCAAAGAGCACUACUCAUAUGAGUAACAAGAAGUAAUGUGUAUCAUGACCAAAUUUAUUUUGCUUUGCAUUCAAAUCUUUUUAUUUGAAGCUUUCUCAUCAUUUCAGAAGAACCUAAUCAAGUGUGCUUAAUCAGGGUAGUUAUCCUAAGCACAGGUUGCAAUAUUAACACUACUUUCACAAGAGAGGCAUACAAGUGAUGCAUACACUUGUUUGCAAGUGAAACCCAAUCUCAGUAGAAUGACACCAAGGGUAAAAGGAAUCAAUUAACAGAAAUCAACUUCCAGUGGUCAGUAAAACAGCUUUUUGCAGCAUAUUUGAGGCACAUCUUCAAAAAUCUUGCAUCCUCAGUAGAACUUCAAAAGAUAACCAGGCAUAAUCAACCACCUUAACAGAAAUGUUUACCUAGCUGUAAUGUGAAAAAGUCACGCCAAUAAAUCGAAAGCAAAUCAAUACUACAUGUAGAAGUCAAUCAAUGUAAUUUUAAUUCAAAAUGGAGACAUAGAACUAGAUUUCAAGUACAAAAGUAUAUGGCUAUGGUGCAAGGAUGAGGACUUUUAGGAGGUCAACCAAACCUUCAAUGAAUGAUUCAAUGAUUGAACAUUUAUAACAUACUUAAAAGUUGGAAAUAGAUUCUGUGCAGCAAGAAAUAUUUUUUCAAUCACAUACAGGCACAUUCACCUGAGAGUACACACCCACAGAUGAGACACGCUUCUUGGAAACAUGCCAAUGUCUAGAUAAAAAAUGAACUACAAAAGAGUAUACAAAUGCAUGAAUUACCCCAGAAGAAUUCAGACGCUGCUCCCAUGCUUUGAAAACUGACUUGACACUCCCUGGAACAGCCUCAUUUAAUGCAGACACCUAGAAAGGCCAUCCAGUACAAAAGAAACGGAAAAAUCAGUGAAAGCAAUUAAAUGAAAUGAACUGAAAAAAGAAAAUAUAAACCAACAACAGCUCAGAAGGAAGUAGCUUCCUGUCGCAAAGCAAACGGGGCAUCCAUUCAAAUGAAGCAGCCCUUCACUCUGGACCUGUAAAGGAACAUAACCCGGCCUAUCUACUGAGUACACCAAAACAUGGUGGGAAAAUUGAUCUUAAAACAGCUCCCUUGCAAUUACCAAGACUUUUUUUUGAAAGCUCACUAAUGUUUUUUCACCUGGGCAAAGGGUAAUGAGAACUAAGGGCAAAGCCAAUUUGACAGCACAGGGGGAGUCUUAAAGUGGAAAAAGUUCUGCACAGCCAAAUUCUAUCGAAUUCAAGCUCUAUCCUGCUUACCCAUAAAGCAAAUCACAACUACAAUUUCCAAAUGAUCCCUUUCUCAUUUUAUCAUGCAACUGGCAUACAAAGAUGCGAGAAUCCAGAUAAUUACACAAAACCACAGCAUGCGCACCUCGUCAUCCAAAAUUUUAACCAAACCUGACUGACCCCCAAAAUACAAACAAAUAACAGGAAAAGUGAACACAAAUGCAGUUUAUCAAGCAACCACGCCUUUUACACAUUUAUUUCUCCGGCUAUUUCAUAUAUAUCGAGUGUGAAAAGAUAGAAAUUAACCUUGGAAAGAUCUAUAUGUUUGUAGAGAGACCAAUCAGAAGAGCAAUCGUGAUCUUCACAGCUAUGAUCGUGCAAACACGCCAUCCCCUUCCGCCUCUAAACCCGGUUACCGCCACAACACACACGACUAUGUGCGAGCUACAGCCUACAACCACGAGUUAAUCUGAUAUGACUAAAAUACCCCGGAACACAAAGGGAACAAAACUCCUCUUCUUUCUAAUAAUAUCAAGGGUAUUUUCGUCGCACUAUAUUUUUUCCACUUUGAAAACUAAAACGGUGCCGUAUUGUUGUAGUCUUUUUGUGCCACGACGUCGUUUCUAGUUUCUGAUGCAGCAAUUCAUGCGGAUUCAAACGCAGCGUGUGCGCUAUCUGUGUCUCCAACGAAGCUGAAUCAUCACUGUGUCUGUAGAAGAGAAAUCGAUGGAGGGAAUAGAGGGAGAAAGCUCAGGAGCAGGGCGAUUCACGUUGCCGCCAAUGCGCAUAAGCAACGAAGACAUAAUAUUUUGUGUAGAUGUGGACGCCGAAUCGCUAGUGGAAAUGAAAUCAACUGGCUUCAAUGGGAAACCAAUCACCAGACUGGAUGCUAUGAAGCAAGCGAUCCUCCUCUUCGUUAACUCCAAGCUCUCUAUCAACCCCGAUCACCGUUUCGCUUUUGUCACUCUCGCCAAAACCGCUUCCUGGGUACUCUCUCUUUUUCCCCUUUUCAUUUUUCAGUUGAAAUUCUGAACGACGUGUCGUACAUCCGUGGGUCCUGCUAUUCUUGUGAUUAAUUGAAAAAAGAAAUAGUCAAAUUUGAGAAUAAAGUAAAGAAUUUUCUUCAAUGCAGUUAAUGUAUUUCCAAAUCAUUGCAACUGAAGCACGUAAUUCUAUUACAAAUUUACGAACAUAUUGCUUGUAACUCAAGUUGGAAUACGUAGUCUGUAUACAAACUUUGUAAGAGUAGCACUACUUGUAUAUUUAUGCGAGCCAUUUUAAUGUGAACAAAAUGUUGCAUGAGUCAUUGUCAAUUCUUUUGCUCUUUUGUUGAAAUUAAGAAUUUGAUGUGUGUUUGAUAUGUUGUAGCUUCGGAAAGAGUUCAGCAGUGACAUAGAGUCUACUUUGACUGCAGUCCGGGGGAUUUCAGCUACUUCUGCCUGUGGUCAGGCAGAUCUCACCCAUCUCUUCAAGUUAGCAUCUCAUGAAGCAAAGAAAUCUCGUGCACAGAACCGGAUUCUCCGUGUGGUAAGAUUUAGUCAGUUCAUCUCACUCUGCUUAACAUGUGCUUAUGCAUUUUCUAGCUGAAUAUACAAAAUGUUUUAUCCGUUUAUCUUGUUGUCUUAUUUAAAUUUGCUAUUAGUUAAAUAGUCAAUCAGUGUGAUUACCACAACUUGCUGCAUCUUCACAAAAAUCAUAUAAUCUCUUUGUUAAAUUUACUGGCACUUCCAGAGUUUUGACAAGUAUUUGAAGCUUUUUUUUUUUUUUUUAAUUUCAUCAAAGCAUUUCCAUCUUGUUUCAACUUCAUUCUGGAUUGAGGUCAUAAUAAGAAGUUAUGAAGUUGUGAACUGCAACGCAACAUGAGAUCUGAUAUUCUGCUCUAUGUAGAUUCUUAUAUACUGCAGAUCAUCUGUAAGACCACAACAUCAAUGGCCUGUGAACCAGAAACUCUUCACUAUGGAUGUAUUGUACCUUCAUGACAAGCCUGGACCUGACAAUUGCCCCCAGAAGGUCUAUGAUGCUCUUGUUGAUGCCCUUGAACACGUCUCUGAGAAUGAGGGCUACAUCUUUGAGAGCGGGCAGGGGUUAGCUCGUAUCCUCUUCCGGCAAAUGUGUGUGCUGUUAUCACAUCCCCAACAACGGUGUGUGCAGGAUGAUGUUGACAUACCCAAGUCUCUUGUAAAGAAGUCACCUGCAGCUGACACAACAAAUGGUGAAGAUACUGUUCCUGUAACAUCCAGCCAGUGAAAAAGUCAACAACCUGAUUGGUUAGUUCAUUUUGCCUCUGAGCAAUCAGUUCUGUUUUCGCUUUUAUGCUUUUAGGUGGUGUAUUACUUAUUGCAUAAAAAUGCUUACCCUCUUUGGCCUUCUCCCAUCUUUCUUGUACAAAUUGUGUAUCCUUCAUGAGACUGAAUGGAUUAUUGAAUAUGAAAUGUUCAGUAUCAGAUUUUGGAUUUUUUUUUCUUAAUUUUCCCGUUACAACACAUUGCAACCUUGCCGUUUAUUGUGAAGUCUUGUGGACUGGACAAGUGCUUGUCUCGUUUUCUGAGCUUAUUGUUGGUUUCAUUGGAUAAGUAUUAUGCUUAUAAUGUGAUAGAAACUUUUAAGCAAUUAGAAAAGAAAACCAAUCUAGAUGAAGUUGCUAUUAUUGAAGUAAGGUUGAAUACUCAUUCCAAACCACCAGGAACAUGAGUGAAGUGUACGGGAAUAGAAGCAUGUGAAUUGAAUUGUUGAAGUUCAUUGUAUUGGGAUUAAAUAAAUUUGUUUAUUGAAGUGUGAUUAUAGAAAUAGGUCUGAAGGAUGACAGAGAUUAGGAUUGUGAUGAUCCUUGUCACCAUCAUAAUCAUCUUGUCCUCACCAAGCACAUGCCAUAGACACUGUCCACCUGAUUCUGGAUAAACUUUGAGUCGGCUCUUCAUAGAUUCUUGCCUGUGAGGCCAUCUUUUCUUGUUCUGGCAAAUGUAACAAUGCGAUUUAUUGUAUGAAUAUUAUCAUACGUGGGAUAACUUAUCCUCAUAAAGAAAAGGAAUCCUGUAGAUUCAAAGAAGUUUUAGAAAAAUAAGAACAAUAAUAGUCAAUGGCUUCUAGCAGUACCAACAGCCAUCCAAAUUAUGUCAACUCAAUAUUUUAAUCUCUCACCUACCAUGAAGUCUGACGGCAACAUAUGUGUUAAUUACCACUAACAAUAGGCAUUUCUAUACUGUCAAACAAUUGUUUGUCCGACACAAAGCACCAUGAUUGUGCUUUGAGUGCACUGAUAAAAGCCAUAGCAAGAGCAGCUCUUUGGGAAUUUGCAAGGUUUCAUUGGCAUGUGGUGAGAUUCAGAGAGCAACUGAGGCCACCGCACUCCAAAAGACAUGUUAAAGAAAGAUUGGGUCUAUAAUUCGGUCUAGUACGUCACAUGCACAAUCAAAUUAAUUGAAGGCCUAAUGAACUCAUUGGCGAGAUUGUUGGUAAUUUUCACUUUGAAUUGAAGAUUGAUCAAUAACUUUAAGAACCUGUACACAAACAGGGAAAAAGAGAGAGAGAGAGAGAGAGAGAGAACGGAAUGAACCUCUAAACAAAUAAAAAAUAACAUUUCUGGGUGAAGUUCAAUUCAUAAUAAAUUUCACUGUUAUCCAAAGUUCCAAUCAUUUGGAACCUCCCCCAAUCCCCAUCAGACUCAUGCUUUGAAGGGCUCAGGGUUCUUUUCUUUUCUCAUUCUUACAAACUGUAUGUGUUUUUAUUGUUAUCAAUAUCAAUAUCCAUGGGAUCAAUAAUUGAUACUAAAGAAAAAGAAUCGGGCAGAUUCAAAGAAAUUUACUUUAGAAGAAUAAAAAUCUAAGAAUAGUUAAUUGCAUAGUCAAUGGUUCCCUUGCUGACCAAAAGCCAUACAAAUUGGCAACAUAUCUCUUCAACCCAAUUGCUUGAAAUUUCUCCAUUCACAUUCAUUUAAAUAUGCAUUAAUUCCUUUGAAAAAUUAUAAGAUAUCAAUUGAUUAAAAUAUCUUGUAAAGGUCGGCAAGAUUCGUAUAACAUUACAAGCCAGGUGGGUGCUGAGAAAGUUUUGAUGAUAUUGAUAAGAGCAAAUACUUCUUAAAACGCAUUCAAUUUUGAUUGAAUCCAUUAUCAACUCAUAACAAGAUUAUAAUAUAAAAUCUUUCAAUUAUAUUAAAUUCGAAAGUUCAACACUCUUGCCCUUUCCUUCGUGGCUAAAGUUUUUUCACUUUAAAUAAGAAAUUAAUCAAACUUAUCUGACUAAUUUUUUUUUUGUAAUAAUCUAACUUUAUAUACCACUUGCUCGAAUCAUGCAGGGUUUGUUUUUUGGGCCAAUGGCUCGAUCGGGAAGACUCAAAUACCCACAAGAUUGGGAAUCGACCCCCUCCUUAACAAUCCAUCUAAAUAAUUUAUUUGAGAACAAAGUCAACGGAAUCGUGAUGAGGACCCAACUUGUGAAAAAAAAAAUUCCACAAUUUAAAUGGUCAGGAUCAUCUGAUCAAAUCUCAUCUGUAUAUGAAAGAUAUAUAUACUAAUUUUGCUCACCCAUAAAUAACAGUGUGCUUCGGUCCUGCUAAUUUGCGCAUGCUUGCGUUAAUUAUUAUAAACCAUAAUUACAACCUAUACGCCUAGAUCAUAUAUUUAAUUGCUUAAAGUAUUCUUUUUAGUGGUCACCAAUUAUAUAUAAUCUCUUUAUUUUCGGGGGAAAAGAACUAUAUUAAUAUAAUCUCUUUUGAUAGAUUUACCAAACUCAACGGAUUCCAAUGGCCUGGGAUCAAAUCUACUUUAAUUUAUCCAAAAAUGUGCUCCCACGACUCUUGUUGCUUUUUUUUUUUUUUAAUUACAUGUGAUUUUUGCUCAAUAGUACAAUUCCUAUUACAUAAGAUUACAACUGAUAUUUAUAAAUUAGACUACUACUGAGACUAAUUUACAUCAAUUAUUAUAAAGCACCGUCCAAAUUUUUACCCUCUCUAAUAUUCAAGGAACGUAUACUCAACUCACGUUUCGAAAAUAAGAAAAUUAUUUUCACUCAAAUUGAAAAAAAAAAUUAAACCCUUAUAAUUCAUGACCUCACAAUUGUGAGGUUACGUUUUCUAACCACUAGGCUUUAGCCUAGUAGCUUAGACUCUUCUUGCUUUUAAUAUUUGGAAGCGACCAAAAAUCAAUUUUACAUUUUGCAUGAUAAAGCCAUCUAAUAUCUUGUGCUAUUUGCUAAAACAUGAUUGAUAUCGGUCACGUAUUUAGAAAAUUAUAUCUACAUGUAUAAUUUACUGUCGACAUAUCUGUGUGAAUAUUUAAGUAAUUUUUAAUAUAAAUUUUGAAUUUAAAUUAUGUUAAUGUAUUUUAAAAUCAAAGUUUAAUGUAUUUACUUGGUGCAAUAGGAGCAAAUUUAUAAUUUAAUUUUAACUUAAUUAGAAAGAAAAUAUCUUAUGUGAUUGUUGGGUUAGUAGCAGACUACACAAUAAAAAUAAAUUAAAUAAUAUAAAAUAACAAUAAUAAUAUGAGUUCAGCUAUGUUGGUUAUGCUCUAACUUAAAGCAUCCAUUGCAGUCAUUGAAUCUAAAGUUGAAACAAAAAAUACUCAUUUUAUCUUUAGAUUCAAUGCAUUCGUGAACUUAAAGCAUCUCCAACAUAACAAAUCAGUUAAUAACUAACUAGAUGUGAGUUGUGUAUGAUGCAGCAGCAUUACAUCAAAUCAGUUAAUAACUAACCAGAUGUCCCAGAAUGCCAACACUUUUACUGAGAAAUAUGAAGUUUGCACGAGGAAAAAGUAAGCAAUUCGGUGCACGCGUAAAGCUAGAGCCGGCUCAGUAGAAGUGCUUUUAAGAUACUACUCUAGUCUAAACUUAUGAGUAGGGAACACCUCAUUUGCCUCUUUAAGUGAAUCUUGGGGUAGUCUUAACACUAAAAUAAUGCACGAACAUUAAAAAACCAAUGAAUCUAUAUAUUAUUAUUGAACAAAGAGUGUGCUUUCAGCUCGUUGGGAGCCACUCACACAUUUUUAUAUUUACAAUUAUUAUCUUUGCUAACAUGCGCUUUCUUUUUGUCCUUAAAAUCCAUGUUGCAGAAGACUAUUUUCAGUCAUAUUAGUUUUACGAGUUCAAGUGGAGAGGGUAAGAAAGAAAAAAAAAAAAAAUUGUACCAUUUUGAGAAAUGGGAAUCUGCGUAUCCACUGCAUCUUCAGAGAUUCACGAUCAAGUUGACAACGGCCAAGAAAAUGUUAUAUUUGUUGAAGGAAAUAUUGUUUCUCAUGGAGUUAAGAAACUUUGUUCCCUUUAUUCUAAGCAAGGAAGCAAAGGCCUUAAUCAAGAUGCAGGCAUUCUUUGCCAGGUUUGUACAAGUUGUUUCUUUCUUCGAGUUUUGUGCUUUACUGCUUUUGGGGUGUUUAUUAAAACUCGGAAACUUUUUGUUUGUUUAAAAGGGCUAUGGAACGGAAGAUGGAGAAUUCUGCGGAGUCUUUGAUGGGCAUGGAAAGCAUGGUCACGUUGUGAGUGAGCUUGUGAGAAAUCGGUUGCCAUCACUCAUACUAAGCCAAAAGAAUGCUCUUUCAAAUAGUAACGUUAAAGCAAAUGGAGAAGUGAUGAUGCCAAGCAUUGACUUUUAUAAAUGGCAAGAGGCUUGUGUUAAGGCCUUUAAGGUUAUGGACAAAGAAGUUAAGCUUCAAGAAAAUUUGGAUUGCUUUUGCAGUGGAACCACUGCUGUCGUCGUCAUAAGACAGGUAUUAAACCAAGUGAUUCUGUAAACAAACAAUGAAAUCAUUUCUUGCAAUUGUUUUCAGCUUUGGAUGUUAAAGAGUUCUAUUCAUUGUAAUCCAAGCAGGGUGAAGAUCUUGUCAUAGCUAAUCUUGGCGACUCGAGGGCUGUGCUAGGGACAGUUUCCGAUAACGGGGAACUCAAGGCUGUUCAAUUGACAACAGAUUUGAAGCCUAGCUUGCCCAGUAAGAAACUAAGAACCCUCUCGCUUUUCGCAUUCAAAAGUAUAAUGAGGUGAUGGGAAUGUUUAGUUGAAUUUGUUUGUGGUGAUUGACAAGCAUCUGUAAUGUAUAGGUGAGGCAGAGAGAAUAAAGCAAUGCCGUGGCCGAGUACUUGCAUUAAAGGAAGAGCCACACAUCCAGCGAGUGUGGCUGCCUCAUGAAGACACGCCAGGCCUUGCAAUGUCUCGAGCUUUUGGUGACUUCCUACUCAAAAAUCAUGGCAUAAUUGCAAUCCCUGAUGUUUCUUAUCGCCGCCUAACAUCUAAUGACCAGUUUAUACUUCUCGCAACCGAUGGGGUAAGUAUUUCGGAUUUCAACUGCUUGCAUCCCGUACUCUUUAUUCAGUUAAUAGAUGUUGCUGAUGGUGCUUAUUGCUUUUGUGUACACAGGUUUUGGAUGUGCUUAGCAGCAACCAAGUUGCAACAAUUGUUUGGGAGGCAGAUAACAAGCAGGAGGCCGCGAGAAAGGUGGUUGAGGCGGCAAACGCUGCAUGGAAAAAGAAAUUUCCAUCUUCAAAGAUGGAUGAUUGCACUGUGGUUUGCCUCUUCCUUCAAAAGAGGUGAUCAAGGCGUUAAACAAUUUGUGCAAAUGUUUCUCUGUAAUUCCUUGCUGCAGCAGAAGUCAAUCCUCCUGUGACUCUCUGUUCUGUUUCAUUUUGAAGCCUCAAUAUUCAACAUUGUCUGAGAAAAGGAUCACAAACAGCUGGUGCUUUGGUUGAUGAACCACUGUAAUCGAAGGAUAGGAAUACAAGGCUUCCAGUUUGUACAAAACAAUAAAUAAUUCAAUAAAACAAAAAUGGCCUCUCCAACACUUGCAAUAACAAGCUCUUAAUACAAAAUGAUAAGAGCAUUCUCUAUCCAAGAGUUACAUACCAAAAGCCUCCAUUGUCAUGGAAGAAAUCAUAUUAGCCAACAAUAAUCACUCUUUAAAACUAUUACUCUCAAUUCUCUCUUCUAAGACGGCGUGAAAAUUUUGUUCUGUUGCCUCUAUAUCCAUAUCUGUACCACCGCAUGUUAAAAAUUAGAAACAAGGCAUGACGGAUUUCCCAAGAAUCAAAUGGAAUCAUUCUUGGGAUCCUCUGCUAGCAGAUCAUCGUAUGAAACAGGUACCCUGAUCCUAUCAUGAACAGAUUUAGGUUUUCCUUCAGCACCAGACUUUCCAUCUUGAUCUUGAGGAACAGACUGAGAACCACCACCUAGAAUGCUGACUGAGGUUCCAUCAGUGGGUGCACCAACAGUUCUUUGUGUGGAAGCCUCUUUAAUUUGCUCUGGAGCAUGCCGGUUGUUUUGCUCUGGCACCUGUCUGUUGUUUUGUUGCCUAAAUUGCUUCUGCAAAAAUAAGAAAGAAAAUUGUAAUUUUGGAAUUAAAAAUUUAGCACCCUAGGAAGUUCAGAUACUGUACACAAACUCCCCAUACAAACUUCACCACUGCUAUAGCAAUGCCACUUCACUGUCGGAGUAAAAAAAAAGGAAGAGAGAAGCCAGAAAUUCUGCACAUACGAAACCAUAUCCAGGUCGAAAAAACGUCAUCCAAUUUUAACAGCUAAAUCCCCUGUUGUGGUGUAAGUGGACCACAGAAUAGGGGAAGCUAAUAAUAAAGGCAGAUUAAAAACAAAAAGCAGAGCAUGUUGGCAAAUGAGAAAAGAUUUUGAAGCAAAUCAUCACGCUUCUUUUUGUUUGAGUUUGCUUUCUUUCUCUUCCUUAGAGUCUGUGUGAGAUCACACACAAUUAGAACCAGGGCAGUUUGAGAUUUAUAGAACCAAACCCUAAUUGCCAUUUUUUUUUACAUUUCUCAUUACUCUCCAAUGAACACACCAAGGACGAUCUAAUACCUUUAAACAUAGGUAUGAAAAGAAAAGUAGCAUCUAAAUAACCAACUAAAACAGUAUUUACUGCAUAAAUUUCACACACACCUCAAAUUCCUUUGUCUUCUUUAUUAUCUCCUUGUAGGCCCCUGGUGCUCGUGCUUUAAUGAUGUUCCACAACACGCCGCCACCUGUCCGAAAACGUCUGCUAUCAGCAGUCAUCUGACCUCCACAUGCCUGAAUUGCCUCCACCUGAAAAUUAAAAUUUCAUCAUACAAUCCCAAUGGCAAAGCAAUGUUUACCCCAAAAACAAAACCCCAAAAAAAAGAAAGAAAAAAAGUCAGCCUAAAAGAAAUGAAAAUUUUCUAAUGACAGACAAUAAUAUCCAUAAUAAACCAAAUGUGGAAGUAGUACAAGAUUAAAAAUACAUAUAUAAAUGUAUACAAGCAAAGACCACAUUCCAUAGCACAAAUUCUCCAACAUAAACUCCAUAUCUCCAUGUAUGUACCUACAAGCAGUAGUUACAUAGAUCACGGUAUGUAUGCUUCCCACAACUAACACACUUCCACUCCCAACAGCAAGUUAAAAUAGCUUUAUAACUCCCAAAUUUCAGUCAACAUUUUCUAAUCAAACUAAAACCAUGGUCAAACGGCUAGUUUAUAAUCUAUGCUUUAUCUUCUGGCGCAAAAUACUUGAUGGAUAUGAAAGUUUCUUUAAAUAUAAUAAAAAGAUGAUGUAUAAUAAAGCAAGGGAGAAAAAGGCUUUCAUUUGAUAUUAAAGCCUGACAAUGAAGACCCUAAAACCAAGGAAAUUACAUAUCACUAGUAAAUAAGGGAACUUUAGCUUACACAAGCAGUGUAUAUGAAACAGAGACCUAAAACAGUACUUAUUUCCAACACUCACAUCAAAAUUUGAAUUCAUUGAAACAAAAGAUAUGAACUAACGUUUGCUCUAAAAAUUUGAAAAAUCCCCCCCCCCCCAAAAAAAAACAACAUAUCUUCAUUCAUCGGUAGCAUUUCUACUUAGAUUUUUAACAUAAAUCUAUGUAGAUCUAGGUAUUUCCAUGCACAAUGUUUGAAAAACUUGAAGGAAAAAUUAUAACAACCUACACAAAAAGUAAACGAUGAAUAGGUUCAGCCAUUGUAUAUCUCAGUUCAGAGCACAUAAUUUGAGCAGCAAAAUGGCUUCUGCCAGAAAGAUCUGCAAGGGUAUUGAAACAAUAUAGAGCAUCAGACAUCAAGAAUGGUAGAAUGGCUUUAAAUAGAGUGGAUAUAUAUUUCAGCUCUGGGCUGGUCCAAAUCCAACUACAACCCAGAUUCUCACCUUUCCUAAAAAAGACUCAAACAAAUCUUACUUUUGCAGAGACUUGAGUGGUUGAUUUCUAAACAUUACCAAUUGAAUUCGCGAAGUGGAGAAACUUCAGGAGAUAAGGUUACAUCAUUCCCAGAAGUAUUCAAAACUAACAUCACAGAUUCAGGACCAACAUCAGCAUAAUGCUGAAAGUUGUUUAAUGAAGUAAUUGGUACACAACAAGAUCUCAGCUCAAAGGUAUGAUUUUGGAUAAUAAUAUUACAACACACUCAUUCUAACACAAAAAGAUGCACAAGUAUAUCCAAAAAUAGGAGAUACUCGCACAAAGAUCACCAAAAACAAUAAACACCAAGUACUGCAUAGAUUUGGUGAAGAAAAUGGAGACAGCGGGAAACCUUUAAGUAAUCCAUGUACAAGUCCAGGGAUGCACAAUUAAUUUAUAAGCAUCAUAAUCAUAAUAAGUAAUAUCACUUUUAGUUUUAUAAUUCUUGUGAAAAGCAAAAUUAGGUAGAAGUAAAGGGAGAACAGUACCUCCUUAACGAGAUCACUUAGUGCAGGAAUGCCAAGACAACCAACAGCUGUGUAUACCAUGUAAGAUUUCUUCUCUUUUAGCCGCUUACAUGUGUCUGAAACAAACCUGAGAACAAUAAGUACUAGAUCAUCAGAACCACAAAAUGAACUCCUACAACCAAUUGUCCAACUGAGUGAUAUACGUAAGAGUAAGAAUAUAACCUGUUUACAUCAGUAACAUUUGGGCCAGGACCACUCCUCUUUUUCUUAUUCUUCUUCUUAUUUGCCCUCCGCCUGCGGUUUUUACUUUGUGAACCCUGAUUUCCUGCACUGACAUCCCCACUGCUGCUCUGCUCCACAUUGGUUUGUGAGCUUGAAUUAUGCUCCACAAGCUCUCCUUCCUCUACAUCAAGCAUCUCAACAUCUUCGCCAUCUUCUAAGUUAUCUUCACUAUCUUCAUAUAUUACUCCUAAAAUGCUCUCUCCUUCAUCCAUGUGAGUCCUAAAACUACAAAAGUAAAAUAAACAAUGAUUUAGAAAGGAACCACACCGACAAAUUAUAUUAACUUUGAAAUCGAAUACUGAUUAGGAUUACAGUUUCCUUAUCAUUGUUUUCCCCCUUAGCCCACUUCAUACCACGAACACAACUCACAACUAAGCCGCCACAAACAAACUUUAUAUUAAAUUAUUUGAAAUUAAAAAAAGGACAUAAAUGCAACUAAAAAAAAUCUGAAAAAUGGUGAAAAUCCUAGUGAUAGAAAUUCUUAAGCUCAAGUCAAAAAUACUGCUGUACGGCCAUUUUUUUUUUUUUUUUUGUGGUGACAGUAAUUAGUUAAUCGCCUAAAGAAUAAGAAACCAAAAAUCCUACAGAAAAAAAAAAAAAAAAUCGCAAGAACAAAGUUCACAAUAUAACUCAAAACCCUAGUAAUUGUCAUGUUAAACUUCAAAACUCCCCUGUACCAUGCAAUCAGUUACCUGACAAUCGUAGAUUGAAAACCUCAAACUAAAACCUUAAUUAGAAAAGUGAACAAGCAAGCAUGAAAUGUAUCUUUUAGAAUUCUAAUAGUAUAAUAGGCACUCUUGAGAAACAACAAAUAGGCGGUGAGUUGAGCUCAUGUUCACAUUCAUCUACGAGGAAAGAGGCCAUGAGCCACGAGUAGGGGUGGGAAGAUCGGGUUUCAGUUAGUGUUUUUCGGGUUUCGGCUUGGGUUACAAUCCGUUGGGGUUGGAAAAUUCAAUCCAAUCGGGUUCAAAACCCAAACACUGAAUUCGAUUUUCGGAUAGAAUUGGAUUAAAAAUUCAGGUCUUCAUUUAGAUUGGGGUUACAAUUCGGGUUACAACCUAAAAUUCCAUAUUCAUUUUCAAAUGAAUCAAAUCCCAACCACCUAAAAUUCGAAAUUCAGUUUCAUAUGAAUCAAAUUCUAGCCCAGAUCAACUGCAAAGGUUGUUGCUUGUCGAUGGAAGAAGAUAUUAGAAAGGUAAAUAAAUAAGAGAAACUCAUAACAGUUGUUAUUUUUGACUUAUUAUUGAUGAUGGCUAACACCUUCCCAACAAACCCAUUUCUUUAAGAAUACCACGACACAGAUUAUGGAAUCAAAAGAGUAAACAACCAAAUUACAGUAUUUAAAUAGCCAUCACCAUUGCAGUAUUUAAAUAACCAUCACCCAAAUUACAGUAAACAACCAUGAAUAAUAGCACCCAAAGUCCCAAAUUACACAAAAAAAAAAAAAAUCUUACCUUUUGCGGCUGACGACGGCGAACGAAGACGGAGGCAGUGACUGGCGACGGUAGAGACGACAGUUUCAGCUUUCGGCUGACCAACGAUUGAGGCAGCACCGGCGCAACUGAAAGGAGGUAACAGUGGCUGCAGCGUGGCGUGGGUGGUUGUCAGCUAAGGGUUAGCGGUUGCGCUAGGGAGAGGAAGAUUACGUGUUUUUUAUUAUGCGUUUUAUACCACUUUUGACUUUUGUUUUUUGUUUUUUUUAAACGGCAAACCCGAUCGGGUUUUUUUUUUAUUCGGGUUGAAACCGAACCGAAAAGAAAACUGAUCGGUUCCAAAUUAUUCUCGGGGAAUGAGAAUAGAGUUAGACUAUUAACACUCCUCCAAAAUUCUUUUAAAGCCGCUUUUUCAGUUAUACUAAAUUUAUUACUAAAAUUACUCUUAUUUCUAAAUAAAUAUAUUUAAUUUGUGAAUUUGUAAAUUUUUUAUUUUUUUUGCUCCUCACAAAUAAUUUUUAUCGGUGAUAAACUUCUUGACAAAAAUCAAUGAAUUAAAUAAAUUAUCUCUAAAAUUAUGAUGUAAAAAGUUUUUGUACGAGUCUAAAAAAAGUCAGAUAAUUUUAUCAAAAUGUGUUUUGUUUAUUAUCAAUAGAUUGUUGUAUUAAUUGAAGAAAAAUUUAUAGAGAAUUUAAGAAAAAAAAUUACAUGUGCGAGUGUGAUAGUAGAGAAAAUAUAAGAAUUUUUUUUAAAGAGAAAAAAUAUAAAAAUUUAAAGUGAGAUAAAAUAGACGUGAGAUAUAUUAAAGUGUUUGUCUUGAAAUAUGAUUGUAAUAAAAGAGGGUUUGAAAAGGAUUAUGGAGGGGCGCCAAUAGUCCAACUCAUGAGGAUAUCCCUGGGCUCGUUUUGUUUUAGCCAACCCAAUUAAUAAAAAAUCCAAGCUUCGGCUAAAAACUUGGGCUGGACCAGAAACAGACGUGAGAUAACCAACCCAAGUAAUUACCAGUUCCUUUUAGACCCCGUUUGCUAUAAUAUAUAUAGUUUAUUAAAAUUGGGUAUAAAAUUGGUGUAAAAUAGAUUCAAAUUUAUCUCAAAUUAAGCACUCUGAUAUUAUAAUUAAGAAAAUCCAGAAUAAUAAAAGUGGAGCCUAAAUAUUUGGAUAAGAAAAGAUGAGCUUGCGCUGGGGCCUCAAACUCAAGGAUCAACAUGGCGUCAAUUUCCUAUUGGAAUAGGUCUUUCAAGUUUUAACACCCCUUUAAAUUUUUUAUAAAACCCUUUUUUUCUCUAUCGAAAUGAUUUAAAUAACUAAAAUUAAUUUUUUUUUUCGGGAAAGAAAAAUUCUUCUUUUAACAAAAUUUUUACACCCAUCCUAUUUCAUAAAUUAUAAUUAUAUUUCCAAAUUUUAAUAAAAGAUUAUUUUAUUGAAAAACUUAUAAGAGUUCAAAGUUAUGGAGAUAAAAAUUAUAUAAUAAAAUUAAAAUAAUUUUAAAUUAUAUAUUUUAAAAAAAUUAUAAAAUGAAAACAUAAAAGAAAGAUCCUUUUCUAAGGUAAUAUUUUAUAGCAAAAUGUUAAUUUUAAUCUACAGGUAUAUAUUUUAUCAAUCAAACUAGUGGUAUUUUAGGAAUAAAAUUAUAAAAAUAAAAAUCGUUGUUGUAAGGAUUUUAGUUUUUAGAGUGAUGUAAAAGCUCCACUCUUUCGUAUCACGCAAGUGUCAGUACACAGACAGCCACAGAUUUCAAGCGGACGACGAUAGAUAGGAUAAGGCACAAAAUAAAUACAAGCGAAAAAUGUUAAGAACGAAUAAAUAAAUAUCUUUAGAAAAGGAAAGUGGGUGGAUCUCCCACGAUUCUUGCUGUUAAAUAAUGUUAAAUUCUUGAAUCUGACAUUAGAGAUUCAGGUUGGAUUCCUGCUCCUGGGGGCCCAAUUAUUCUAUGCCACUACAUCAUGAAACUGACAACUACAAUGACUUUCAUUAUCUUUAAUGCGUCAGAAUUGCCGUGCGUGGCAAGUGGCCAAUAGCAGCAUGACAGUGGCCGCUGCCCAAUUGCAAUUAUUUUCAGCGUUUGCAAAUGCCUACGAGGCUGCGAGGUUGAUUCCCCGUGAGCUUGAAAACGAAAACACCCCAGGCUGCGGGCUGCGGCUGCUAAUUAUGACUGCUUUGUGUCUUUUUUUUUUCCUCUUCUCAAUUAUUAUAAAAAACAACAAUCAUCCGAUAAAACAGCAAAUGCAUCUUCCCGGGACCCAGUCCGAAAUUCAGAAUCUUUUGAGAUGAAACUAAAAUUGUUGCGUUGAAGCACGGCUCCUCUUUCACUUCCUCCAAUAAUUCCGCAGUACACGCCACUCAGGCACUGGCGGUAGUGGCGGUUGGUGGGCUCGUCUCACACUCUCAGUGAAAAGUUAGAGGUCACAAGCAGAUUCAUGUUGCGCGCGGAAGGGAAGGGAAGGUUAGCCAGUCGACGCCACAAUAAAUUUGAGUAACCAUUUAUGCUGCACUACACGUAUAUCUAUUUAAAUUCUGAAUAAAUUUUUAAAUUGUAAUAUUUAUAGUAUGGUAAUCGAUCAUAAAAAAAAAAAGAAAAAAGAUAAAAAUCGUACGUAAACUACGCAAUAGUCCGAAAUUGAACAGCACAUGGCUUGUCACUGUGUUUCGAGGCUUAUUAAUAACCUGUACGUGUCCUUACUGGCAAGUGGCAACCUAGGCGUUCGUGUGCGCUGCUUUCGGUGGCCCAAAACCGAAAGAUAGAUGAUGUUGAUUUCUGUGAAAGAGGACUUGAAAUGAAACCAACCAAUGUGGAAAACUUUAUCACGGCAAAUAUUUGGAAUCCACAAUGGUCAAAUCUACUGUUAUCUAUCUAUAUAUAUUUGGACCGAGGGCUACAAGGUGAUUCUCAAGCAAGAUUGAUUUUUUAUUUUUAUUUUUUAUUGAACAGUCUUGAGCUUAAGGCAUGGAUAUUUUUUACAGUCUAAAUAUCACUCGGGUAGGAAACUUAAAAUCUCAAUUAAUAUAAGUAAAUCGUGGGUAUAUAUUAUGGGCAGGUUCAAAUUUGUGAGAGUGAAUUCUAACAAUUGGUGUGAUUUAUGGACAGGUUCAAAAUGGAAACCCUUACUAUUAUCAUAUGAUAGCAUUGAAUAUAAUAAUUCAAUAAAUUUGAAUUAAUUUUAGUGUGUAUUUGGGAUUGAGGUUGAGCAGCUGUAGUUUAAAAAGUUACAGUACUAAAGUAUUUGGUAAACAUUAACUGUUGUAACUUGUAAGCUAUGUUGAUAUAAUUCUUUACUUGUAUAAUAAAAAAUUUAUUAUAUCUUUAAUAAAAUUUUUUAAAUUAUUAUUUAAAUUUUAUAUUUACUAUAUAUUAUUAACUUUUGUUUGAUAGUGACAUCUUUGUUUUCAUAGCAAUUCUAGCUUAAGAGGUACAGUACUUCAAUUCCAAACGGAACCUUAAUGAAUUUGACUAGAUAUUUAACGUCCCUCCUGCUAAAAAAAUUAUUGAAUAAUUCAUCAAUUGGUAAUUUUUUUAUUAAUUCAAUUCAUGAUACUGGUAAAGAAUUUCAAAAUCAAAGGUAAAAAAGGGGGACAAAAGGUGGUUGAAGUGUGCAAGCAGGGAAAGGAUUCCUUAACCAAAUGGGCAUCAUCGCUUGCUGUUUACUGCCGAUUCUGUUUUGUCUUACAUGAAUGAUUUAAAUUGAUUCCAACUGAAUUCUGAUGAAUCGGCAAGGGCCAUAGGCCGUGGCCCAUGGUCGCGUUAUCUUUAUGUGCACGAUUCCAAAAGAUUCCCAUCGAAGUCAUUCUCACAACAAAGAGGCCAAGUUGAAAAAGUAUCUCGCUUGACAUUUAUUCCAAGUUUUGGUUAGAAAAAAAAAUGAGAUGAUAGGACAUACGUGUGUGCUUCACCAUUCGAUAAUUUCAGAUUCGUUUGAUUGAGCGAUUCUUAUCUCUGUUCCCCGGCUUAUACUUUUUUAUAAUUUAAUAAAAGAAAUUAUUAAAAAUAUCACAAAGAGUGUUUUUAUGCUUUAGAAAACUCGAGAGUUAGGUAGAGUAGAUUUCUCCAAAUUUAUUUCUAUGAGAUUUAUGUAAUUUCAAGCCAAUUUAUGGGUUACAUUCAUUAUUAUUGUGCUAAUCACGGCUAAUAUCCGUUUAAUAAUAAGAAUAAUAAAAUUAAUGUCAUAUUCAAGAAAAUCAAAGGACGAAACACUAUAUAUAUAGUUAUUAUCAAAUGUGGAAAAAAAGAGAGAGGUAACACAUUUAUAAAUUAAGUUAUUGAACUCAACAAUGAAUUAUAAAAAAUAAAAUGUCUUAUACUUAAAAAAAAAGAUUGUGUCUUUCAUAUUUUAUUUACAAGGUACAUGAUGAGUCUAUUGUCUACAUGCAUAUUAUAUACGUAAAUUCCGUUCACAGUUCAUCGUAUUCUCAUGAAUUUUAUUUUAUACACUCUUUUAUUAGGAUAAACCCUAACAUACAUUUAAUGUAUGUUACAGCCACUCACACCACUCAUUGUUCAUGUGAAUAGUGUAACAUACGUUAUGUUAAAAGGAUCCUCUUAUUAGUUAUCAAAAGAUUUUCGAAUUUUACAAUAAUAACAAAAAUAAAUAGUCGUUUGCACUAAUUUUGUGUUCCGUGUAAUACGGUCGGGUGUGUUUUCCAGGAAAAUGAAUAAUUUUUAUUUUUUUCUGGGAAAAAGAACAAAGACGUGAUGGGCCGAAACUCUCUUCGUUUGACGGGAUGAAAAGCAGACGAAAGCAGCCAAUACAACAACAUUACCUAACGAUUACCGGGGCGGCUAAGUGACCCCACGUUACAUCGCCCGUUUAUCCAACCUCGAAAGGGACCCAACCGCAGUCAUGCUAAAUUACCCCGGCAUCCCCUGCACUUCACACUUCCACAAUUCACGGCACGAACCUCAUGGAUCUUUCUUUCAUCAAUGCUGACGUACGGCUGAGACGCCUGGUGGCUGGUGCAGCUGACAUCAACUUUUGUUAGAAGAUCGGUUGCAUCUGGACCGUCCAUAAGAAAAUUAUCCUCACUUAGGCUGACGUGUACGUGCCAUCUGCAACCUCACUCGCUUUACACUAUCUAAAAUUCUCAAUUUCUCUAUGCAGAAUUAGAAUAAAGUAACGCUCAAACGUAAAAUCAACGCGACCCCAAACGUUUUGAUGUAUUUCAUUUAAAUUAAGAGUUUGAGCAGUCUGAAAAAUUAAUAUAACAAAAUAAUUUAUUAUCUUUAAUAAGCAGUGAAAUGAGAGUUGGGAUAUUAUAUUUGAGCUCAUAAAGAAUAGCAUAUAAAUCUAAUCAAGAAUCUCAUACGCUAUGUCGACUCAUCUAUUAUUUACAUUAUUUAUUUAAUAUAGUUUUUUGAUAUUUUUAAUAAAUACCCAUUUAACAUGAUUUUAAUAAAUAUUUUAGAAUAUUUAUAAUGCUGCAUAAAGUAUAAUCAACUUAAUUUUAAUUAUAACAAAUAAAAAUUAAAAUAUGAUCAAUAUAAUAUAGUCUUAAGAUUUCUAAUUUCCAAGUAUAAUUAUUGAACAAAUGAUUCUGUCCUAAUCGUUAGUUUUAACUUUUAACCAAAUAAGUUGGUAAUUUUGUAAUAAAUAGGGUAUUGAUUAAGAAUUUUAUAAAUUAUUUUACCCAAUUGAAAUAAAUUAAAACAUUUUUACCCCUUAUUAAUAUUUUCCCGUUUAAAAUAAAAUAACAAAAGAAAAAAUAUAUUGUCAGCAGUGCAUCACUCGGUAUUAUAAAUAACAGAGCUCUUCCUCCCCACAACAACAUUUCCAUAACUAGCUCCAGCAACCAAUCAACCCCCUUCAAAAAACCAUGACGCGCCUUGCCUCCGGCGUGCUAAUCACGCUCCUAGUCGCUCUUGCAGGAAUCGCCGAUGGAAGCAGAGACAUAGCAGGUGACAUUCUGAAGCUACCAUCGGAAGCCUAUAGGUUCUUCCAUAAUGGUGGGGGAGGGGCAAAGGUCAACGAUGAUGAUGAUUCUGUCGGCACGAGAUGGGCCGUCCUGCUUGCCGGAUCUAAUGGCUUCUGGAAUUACAGGCAUCAGGUCUGCUAUCUGAAUUUUAUUUUUUGAAAUCACGUUUUAUUUUAAUAAAUUCCUUGGAAUUACCAAGUUUUAUUCUUUUCGUAAAUAUUAUAAUGAAAGUUUAUUUUAUUUUUGUAAAUUUUUUUCUUUUUCUUUUUUUCAUUUUUUUUUCAGAAAGUGAAGUAAGGUUAAGGUUUUCUUUGAUGCUUGUAUUUAAAAAGCUCGCCAUAAAUUAUGUCUGAAUAUUGAGAAUCUCAUUUUGCGCGUAACUGUUUAAUUUACGUAAGCAGCAAGUAAGCCGAGACAAUCAGACAAAAGAAAGAAUGUGAAAUUCAUUUCAUGUUUUCGGUUUUUUUUUUAAAAAAAACCAAAUUUCCAGUUUGUUUGUGCAACUUAAGCACUAUCUCUUAAAAAAAUUAAUAAUAAUAAUAAUAAUAAUAAACAAACAAACAAACUAUCACAUAGCUUGACAUAUUUCUUAAUUGUAUCAGUCUGGUUAAAGGUUUUCCCCAAUAAAAAAUUUUGGUUAUUUCUUUGAAAAACAUAUAUAUAUAUAUAUAUAUAUAUAUAUUACUUUCAUUUAUUUAUUCAUCAUCUCAAGUGAAACUUUUGUGAUUUGCCUGUGAGUGACAAUUGUUUGUGUACACUGUCAAUGAUUGUAUGAAUCAGAGGCAAGAUUUCUUACUUUAAAUAAGUGGGUAACUGUAUUUGCACCUUUUGUGUAAGCCGCUUGAUGUAAAUAUUGCUGUUAGGGGAUUUGAUUUCCUAUCAAGUCCACUUUUCAUAUAUAUAUAGAGAGAGGGCAUUCUUACUUUGUUAAGGUGAGAAUGCCAGCAAAAGACAAAAAAUAAAAAUAAAAAUUUCAAUAUACUAAUAGAUUGAAAUAUAUGUUUUUUCGUAUUUUAGUGAUAUCUUAUUUUGUUAAAGUGAGGAUGUCCUCAACAAAGAAGGACUCUCUCUCUAUAUAUACAUGCACACAUACAUGCUUUCUAAUUAUGAAUUUCAGCAUAUUAUACUGUCUAUUGAUGUCAUAAUCAUAUUCUGUGUAGAGCUUCAUAAAUCAUUUUUUGUAUUUAUUUUAUUUUAUUUCUAUUUCAGGCUGAU